ACGGGAAGAGCCCAAACCAACAAGCUUGCUUGUUGGGGUUGUAGGACACUCUAUACGGAGUUACAAAGGACGACAUUAGACGAAUCAUCUGGAAAGAUGAAUCAAAGAAGGUAAUAAUCCUGUAGUCGAAAAUGUUGUCUCUCUUGAGUGGAUCCUGAGUACGACGGAGCACGUGAAAUUCCGUCGGAAUCUGGGAGGACCAUCUCCUAAGGCUAAAUACUCUCUAGUGACCGAUAGUGAACCAGUACCGUGAGGGAAAGGUGAAAAGCACCCCGGAAGGGGAGUGAAAUAGAACCUGAAACCGUGUGCUUACAAGUAGUCAGAGCCCGUUAAUGGGUGAUGGCGUGCCUUUUGUAGAAUGAACCGGCGAGUUACGAUUUGAUGCAAGGUUAAGCAGUAAAUGUGGAGCCGUAGCGAAAGCGAGUCUGAAUAGGGCGUUUAGUAUUUGGUCGUAGACCCGAAACCAGGUGAUCUACCCUUGGUCAGGUUGAAGUUCAGGUAACACUGAAUGGAGGACCGAACCGACUUACGUUGAAAAGUGAGCGGAUGAACUGAGGGUAGCGGAGAAAUUCCAAUCGAACCUGGAGAUAGCUGGUUCUCUCCGAAAUAGCUUUAGGGCUAGCCUCAAGUGAUGAUUAUUGGAGGUAGAGCACUGUUUGGACGAGGGGCCCCUCUCGGGUUACCGAAUUCAGACAAACUCCGAAUGCCAAUUAAUUUAACUUGGGAGUCAGAACAUGGGUGAUAAGGUCCGUGUUCGAAAGGGAAACAGCCCAGACCACCAGCUAAGGUCCCAAAAUAUAUGUUAAGUGGAAAAGGAUGUGGCGUUGCCCAGACAACUAGGAUGUUGGCUUAGAAGCAGCCAUCAUUUAAAGAGUGCGUAAUAGCUCACUAGUCGAGUGACACUGCGCCGAAAAUGUACCGGGGCUAAACAUAUUACCGAAGCUGUGGAUUGUCCUUUGGACAAUGGUAGGAGAGCGUUCUAAGGGCGUUGAAGCAUGAUCGUAAGAACAUGUGGAGCGCUUAGAAGUGAGAAUGCCGGUGUGAGUAGCGAAAGACGGGUGAGAAUCCCGUCCACCGAUUGACUAAGGUUUCCAGAGGAAGGCUCGUCCGCUCUGGGUUAGUCGGGUCCUAAGCUGAGGCCGACAGGCGUAGGCGAUGGAUAACAGGUUGAUAUUCCUGUACCACCUAUAAUCGUUUUAAUCGAUGGGGGGACGCAGUAGGAUAGGCGAAGCGUGCGAUUGGAUUGCACGUCUAAGCAGUAAGGCUGAGUAUUAGGCAAAUCCGGUACUCGUUAAGGCUGAGCUGUGAUGGGGAGAAGACAUUGUGUCUUCGAGUCGUUGAUUUCACACUGCCGAGAAAAGCCUCUAGAUAGAAAAUAGGUGCCCGUACCGCAAACCGACACAGGUAGUCAAGAUGAGAAUUCUAAGGUGAGCGAGCGAACUCUCGUUAAGGAACUCGGCAAAAUGACCCCGUAACUUCGGGAGAAGGGGUGCUCUUUAGGGUUAACGCCCAGAAGAGCCGCAGUGAAUAGGCCCAAGCGACUGUUUAUCAAAAACACAGGUCUCUGCUAAACCGUAAGGUGAUGUAUAGGGGCUGACGCCUGCCCGGUGCUGGAAGGUUAAGAGGAGUGGUUAGCUUCUGCGAAGCUACGAAUCGAAGCCCCAGUAAACGGCGGCCGUAACUAUAACGGUCCUAAGGUAGCGAAAUUCCUUGUCGGGUAAGUUCCGACCCGCACGAAAGGCGUAACGAUUUGGGCACUGUCUCAACGAGAGACUCGGUGAAAUCAUAGUACCUGUGAAGAUGCAGGUUACCCGCGACAGGACGGAAAGACCCCGUGGAGCUUUACUGUAGCCUGAUAUUGAAAUUCGGCACAGCUUGUACAGGAUAGGUAGGAGCCUUUGAAACGUGAGCGCUAGCUUACGUGGAGGCGCUGGUGGGAUACUACCCUAGCUGUGUUGGCUUUCUAACCCGCACCACUUAUCGUGGUGGGAGACAGUGUCAGGCGGGCAGUUUGACUGGGGCGGUCGCCUCCUAAAAGGUAACGGAGGCGCUCAAAGGUUCCCUCAGAAUGGUUGGAAAUCAUUCAUAGAGUGUAAAGGCAUAAGGGAGCUUGACUGCGAGACCUACAAGUCGAGCAGGGUCGAAAGACGGACUUAGUGAUCCGGUGGUUCCGCAUGGAAGGGCCAUCGCUCAACGGAUAAAAGCUACCCCGGGGAUAACAGGCUUAUCUCCCCCAAGAGUUCACAUCGACGGGGAGGUUUGGCACCUCGAUGUCGGCUCAUCGCAUCCUGGGGCUGUAGUCGGUCCCAAGGGUUGGGCUGUUCGCCCAUUAAAGCGGUACGCGAGCUGGGUUCAGAACGUCGUGAGACAGUUCGGUCCCUAUCCGUCGUGGGCGUAGGAAAUUUGAGAGGAGCUGUCCUUAGUACGAGAGGACCGGGAUGGACAUACCUCUGGUGUACCAGUUGUCGUGCCAACGGCAUAGCUGGGUAGCUAUGUGUGGACGGGAUAAGUGCUGAAAGCAUCUAAGCAUGAAGCCCCCCUCAAGAUGAGAUUUCCCAACUUCGGUUAUAAGAUCCCUCAAAGAUGAUGAGGUUAAUAGGUUCGAGGUGGAAGCAUGGUGACAUGUGGAGCUGACGAAUACUAAUCGAUCGAAGACUUAAUCAA
rnacentral:rRNA from 1 species